AAGACCUUUGGCUAUUAGGCAGCACUUCCCUCUUAUCUGCUAAUGUACACCUCCAUUUACAUAUUACAGCUUCCUCAACCACCUACAUGCUUUUUCACAGAGUCUGUCAAAUUCUCUUUAUAAUGAAGAUGUCAAAUACAGGUGAAUCUUCUUCUUAAAACCCAAGGGUAAUGCCAUUUACUCAACAUCUGCUGUUC